CGGCGAACGGGUGAGUAACGCGUGGAUUAUCUGCCCUGAGGUGGGGGAUAACCCGGGGAAACUCGGGCUAAUACCGCAUAGGACCGUGAGGUCAAAGGGGGGUCGCAAGAUCUCUUGCCAUAGGAGGAGUCCGCGUACGAUUAGCUAGUUGGUAGGGUAAUGGCCUACCAAGGCGACGAUCGUUAGCCGGCCUGAGAGGGUGAUCGGCCACACUGGAACUGAGACACGGUCCAG
rnacentral:rRNA from 1 species